rnacentral:misc_RNA from 1 species
GAUGAAGUACGCAGCGAAAUGCGAUAAGUAAUGCGAAUUGCAGAAUUCAGUGAAUCAUCGAAUCUUUGAACGCACAUUGCGCACGCUAGUAUUCUGGCGGGCAUGCCUGUCUGAGCGUCAUUUCAACCCUCGCCCCCGGCUUUUGCUGGGAGCGGUGUUGGGGAUCGGCCGCCCGUCACUGGGAGGCCGGCCCCGAAAUAGAGUGGCGACCACGCCGUGUGCUCCUCUGCGUAGUAGUAAAUCACCUCGCAGGCGGACAGCGGUGCGGCCUGCCGUAAAACCCCCAACUCUUUCUGGUUGACCUCAGAUCAGGUAGGAAUACCCGCUGAACUUAAGCAUAUCAAUAAGCGGAGGA